CCCUGGGUGACACAAAUGGUUAUGUGCUUGGCUAUUAGCCAAAAGGUUGGUGGUUCAAAUCCACCCAGAGGUG
rnacentral:tRNA from 1 species